GACGAACGCUGGCGGCGUGCUUAACACAUGCCAGUCGAACGGAAAGGCCCUGCUUUUGUGGGGUGCUCGAGUGGCGAACGGGUGAGUAACACGUGAGUAACCUGCCCUUGACUUUGGGAUAACUUCAGGAAACUGGGGCUAAUACCGGAUAGGAGCUCCUGUUGCAUGGUGGGGGUUGGAAAGUUUCGGCGGUUGGGGCUGGACUCGCGGCUUAUCAGCUUGUUGGUGGGGUAGUGGCUUACCAAGGCUUUGACGGGUAGCCGGCCUGAGAGGGUGACCGGCCACAUUGGGACUGAGAUACGGACCAGACUCCUACGGGAGGCAGCAGUGGGGAAUAUUGCACAAUGGGCGGAAGCCUGAUGCAGCAACGCCGCGUGCGGGAUGACGGCCUUCGGGUUGUAAACCGCUUUCGCCUGUGACGAAGCGUGAGUGACGGUAAUGGGUAAAGAAGCACCGGCUAACUACGUG
rnacentral:rRNA from 1 species